rnacentral:rRNA from 1 species
GACAGAGGUGCCGAGCGUUAGGCGGAAUCACUGGGCUUAAAGCGUGUGUAGGUGGAUGUCUAAGUACCUUGUGAAAUCCCACGGCUUAACCGUGGAACGGCUCGGUAUACUGGAUGUCUUGAGCCAGCUAGGGGCUACCGGAACAAAUGGUGGAGCGGUGAAAUGCGUAGAUAUCAGGAGGAACACCGGUGGCGAAGGCGGCUUGCUGGGCCUUACCUGACGCUGAGGAGCGAAAGCGUGGGGAGCGAACAGG